UUCGUCCCUGUGCGUUGCCUCUUCUCCUUCCCGAGCCCCGACGACGCCUUCGGCCUUCCCACUCGCCGCCGGCGCCUCCACCGGGGUUGGCGCCGCCGGCCACUCCUAUGCUCCCUCCAGUUUCGGAGACUCUGCUCAUCCCCUCACUGGAGUCGGCGCCUCCCUGGAAAAGUAGCUCCGCCAUGUGUUCGCCGCCUCCCCGAAACCCUAUCCCAGCCGCGCCCGAGCUCUGGUGGCCGUGACGGCGUCGCAUGCGCCCGCGGCGGCUCUCUCGUCGCCGCCGCCGUCGCCGGGACCUAGGGUUCGGGCAUCCGUCCUUGGCGCCCCGCGUCUCGAGGUCCCCGUCCUUCGGCAGGACGCCGGAGCUGCCCGCCGUCGUCUCUGUCGUUCAAGCAGAUGCAUUAGAAGCCAUUAAUCCUAGAUUCGGAAAACCAUCCAAGUCAUGAAGGAGUAUUUGGCAGCUUCUGAAGCUUAUUUCGCAAGAUUACUUUGUUGAAAAGUUUCCUCCCAUAUCCACUGAUUUUUAAUAAGAGGAGGUUAUAGGUCUUGAAAUAUUGAUACAAUCAGUUGGAAUUUGACUCUACAUGUACCGGCUAGAAUGGAGUAGGAUUAGUAAAUGAAGCAACUGCUCUCCUGUUUUGACCAAGGCCUUGAGAGAUAAUUUUCACAAGGACAUCCUUCAUAUUCAACCGUCAUGAAUGAAGUGGUUAUCUUGGAUGCCAUUCAGUGAUGUAAUUUUGUGAUCUAGCGUUAUCCUUCAUGUAACAGGGUAACCAUCAUCUACGUUGUUGAUCAUUAAUCAAGAAGCAUUCAUUUGCAGAAGAAAAACUACCUGAUAUGCUUGAUCUAUGGUGGAGCGCAGAUGAUCUAGAGCACCUAUAUGAAGCAUAUAGAAGAUGUGAAAAAUAUCGGAAGAGGAAUCCCAAGUAUAGUUUUCAGCUUCUGGUUUCCUCUGAAUCCUAGAGAGAUAAAAUAUGUUUCCUGUUUUCUUUACCUGAUCACAUUUUAGAAUCUCAGCUAGGUAAUCUGAUUGGAAUUUCAGCAACUACAUGAUCAAUUUGUGUUGCAGUUAUCCUAUUUCCAGUUGUCUUAUGUUUUAAAGUGGGUGUCAUGCGUGGAGCUGCAUGGGUAUUUUUCCUGUAAUAUUAUUAUUAUGGUUUUUGGUACCCUGCCCUAACUACACUGAAAUCCAUGUUGGUUGAUGCAGCUGAAGAGGUGAUCCUUUCAAUCUCCUCAGCUUCCAUGCCCCGACCACACUGCAGUCCAUAAUGGAUGAGGAAGGAGGAGGUGCAUCGACAAUAGUUUGAAUCAGAUCGGGCAGCCACCAUAGUUGGUGAUGCUGUGGAGUGGAGGAACUAUGGCAUAUGGCACUACAGUUGACUUCCCCUACACUGUUGGAAACUGCAGUGGACUGAUGGCACCGUGGUUCACCUUCCAUAUAUGGCUGGAAUUUGUUGCCCAACACUUAUU